GACGAACGCUGGCGGCGUGCUUAACACAUGCAAGUCGAACGAAGAGCGAUGGAAGCUUGCUUCUAUCAAUCUUAGUGGCGAACGGGUGAGUGACGCGUAAUCAACCUGCCCUUCAGAGGGGGACAACAGUUGGAAACGACUGCUAAUACCGCAUACGAUCUAACCUCGGCAUCGAGGAUAGAUGAAAGGUGGCCUCUACAUGUAAGCUAUCACUGAAGGAGGGGAUUGCGUCUGAUUAGCUAGUUGGAGGGGUAACGGCCCACCAAGGCGAUGAUCAGUAGCCGGUCUGAGAGGAUGAACGGCCACAUUGGGACUGAGACACGGCCCAGACUCCUACGGGAGGCAGCAGUGGGGAAUCUUCCGCAAUGGACGAAAGUCUGACGGAGCAACGCCGCGUGAGUGAUGACGGCCUUCGGGUUGUAAAGCUCUGUUAAUCGGGACGAAAGGCCUUCUUGCGAAUAGUGAGAAGGAUUGACGGUACCGGAAUAGAAAGCCACGGCUAACUACGUG
rnacentral:rRNA from 1 species